UGCACUUUUAGUAUAGUUUUAAUUUCCAGUUAGUGCUUAUUUUAAAUACAGUACAUUCGAAAGGCAACAUUUUUCAUCUAAUAUUUUAUUAUACUUUCAUUAUAAUGUCUUAAUCGUUUUCAGUGUAGGUAGUGUUUGUAACUCUGUAUGGCAUUGGUCAACGAUUCCUCAGUGAUUUCUGGGAAGUUGCUACCAUAUGUAGUUUCAUGACUGCUUAAGAAUUCUGAAUGCAUUAAUGUAUUGCUAUGCAUUUAAUCGGGUUUUGAGGGUAGCUGGAUUUCUAGGACGUUCUUGGUUGUUCAUUGCUAUAGUAGGAGGAUUAAAGAGGUGCUGUGAUUUGAGAGAUCACUAAUUCUGAAGGGCAAUGCACAAGCUCAACUUUAAUACUCAGUGCUAAAGGUUUGUUGCAUGUACUAGAGAUGUUUGCAUUAGAAAACACUAUGAAUUAGAGGAUGAAUGGACAGAAUGAGAGAGAGAGGUUAAAACGAGAGGACAUUGAUGCAAGGUUUAAUAGCUGCAAGCCAGUCUUCGAUUCUGUUACACACACAUACAUUCAUCCCGCCUUCCUGCUGUGCAUCUCAUCCUUUCCCAUCCUCCCUCUCUCUCUCUCUCUGUCUCUCUCUCUCGUGUCACGUGUGCAGGUCUGUGAAUCGCAGCAGCAGCUUUGUGCAUCUCUUUCUGUGUGAGCAAGAGAGAAGCUCAGGGCUGCACUCCUCCAAGGGCUUCUCGUACUCUCUCUAUUCACACACACACAUCCAGACAGGGGGCUUUCACCAUCCCAGACACACUGUCUGCUGUGACUUCUGUCUGGGAGAGCUGGACGGACAGGAGGGAUUAUCCCCAGGAUCCUUCCAUGGUUUGCAACAGCAUGCACCGAUUGAGCCAGACUUCAUCCCAAGGUUGAGCGGAGCGCUGCAGCAGGCGACGAGGGAGGAAUGGAUCACAGAGAGAGCAGGACGAGGAACUGAGGGCUCGCUUCGUGCGUUUGCAUCAUCGGAGGAUGCUUUGGGCAUCGCUGCAGGACGUUUAAGAGUACAGCGGAUGCUAGUGGAUGGAUUUUGCAUGCGGUUGGAGAGGGUUGUGAUUCAGAGACAUGAGGACUUUUCUAAAGAAUGACCUUGAAUAUUUUUCCUCACUGAGGAUGUGCAAUGCAAUGAUUUCUGCCUGGCACAACCGCAUCUGAGGUCACUUCUUCUCUAGACCCUCUCUUAUAUCUCAGGGUUGACUUUCAAAGCUCGUAAGUGUCUGUGUGCUUCGCUGGAUUGGAGACUAGUUUUGCUUCACUGCAUCCCGAGUGCAAAA
rnacentral:lncRNA from 1 species